GCCUUCGUGGUGUAAUGGCGAGCACAUUCGGCGCGUAUUCGAGAGAUCCGAGGUUCGAGUCCUGGAGAGGGUA
rnacentral:tRNA from 1 species